rnacentral:rRNA from 1 species
UACGUAGGUGGCAAGCGUUUGUCCGGAUUUAUUGGGUUUAAAGGGUGCGUAGGCGGUCCUUUAAGUCAGUGCUGAAAUACUCCAGCUUAACUGGAGGGGUGGCAUUGAUACUGGGGGACUUGAAUGAAGUCGAGGUAGGCGGAAUUGACGGUGUAGCGGUGAAAUGCUUAGAUAUCGUCAAGAACACCGAUAGUGAAGACAGCUUACUAGGCUUAGAUUGACGCUGAGGCACGAAAGUGUGGGGAUCAAACAGG